AUUGAAUGCUGGCGGCAGGCCUAACACAUGCAAGUCGAGCGAGCGGCGGACGGGUGAGUAAUGUCUGGGAAACUGCCUGAUGGAGGGGGAUAACUACUGGAAACGGUAGCUAAUACCGCAUACCAUCAGAUGUGCCCAGAUGGGAUGAGCUAGUCGGUGGGGUAACGGCUUACCUAGGCGACGAUCCCUAGCUGGGCUGAGAGGAGGAGCAGCCACACUGGAACGGAGACACGGUCCAGACUCCUACGGGAGGCAGCAGUGGGGAAGAUUGCACAAUGGGCGCAAGCCUGAUGCAGCCAUGCCGCGGGUGUGAAGAAGGCCUUCGGGUUGUAAAGCACUGUCAGCGGGGAGGCGGUACCCGAAGAAGAAGCAACGGCUAACUCCGUGCCAGCAGCCGCGGUAAUAC
rnacentral:rRNA from 1 species